rnacentral:rRNA from 1 species
AACGUAGGACGCAAGCGUUAUCCGGAGUUACUGGGCGUAAAGCGCGGGCAGGCGGCCCGUUCAGUCUGAGGUGAAAGCGCCCGGCUCAACCGGGCGAGGCCCUUGGAAACUGGCGGGCUGGAGGGCAGUAGAGGUAGGCGGAAUUCCGGGUGGAGUGGUGAAAUGCGUAGAGAUCCGGAGGAACACCAGAGGCGAAGGCGGACUGCUGGGCGGAACCUGACGCUGAGACGCGAAAGCCAGGGGAGCGAACGGG